UGUGAUUGAGGUUAAUUGAUGGUGGUGCUUGCGCGAUGCAGAUGUUGGGGAUGGCGGAGAAGGAGAUGGAGUACCGGGUCGAGCUUUGAACCUUUAUUGUGUUGAAUUCUUACUAGACACAGAACAAAAUUCGGCUCACAUGUUUCUUUAUGCUCUGAAUGUUCAACAGUUUUGAACCUUUAAGCUACUGUUUUGACAUUAAGUGGAUUACAUGAAUCAGUUUGAUACUAUUUUGGUGUUGCUUUAGCUUUAAACUAGUCUCCCUUUCUCAUGGUCACUUGUAUUUGCCGAUUGUAAGGAUUUUCUCCAUGGAAAGAAAAUAUCAGUAGAUUUCAAAUUCUAAACUGAUGCACUAUGAACAAAAACUUAUUCCCCGUUGUGGUGGGAUUAUUGCACUAUUUGCUUGCUGCUGUACCAUGGUAUCUAUAGGUUAUUAGUAUUGUUGAUCCCGACCAUGAGCUUGAAUGGUAUAGUAUUAGAAGAGCAUCAAUUUAAUUUGUAGCAGUGAGGUCACUGAUUUUUGUUCUUUCAUGCCAUGGUACGAUUAUGAUUGGAAUGGUAUCCACUUAACAUGUUAGAAUGUACUGAUUGUUUGUGCCGAUUCCUGGUCUAUAUCAAGGGUAUAAGUUUAUUACUUUCUAUCUAGGUUUGUUAGCUAUGGAUGAUUUCAGUGAUGUUCUUCUAAAUUUGAAAGAUAAAUGGCAUGUUCCUUGCUAUCACCUAUGAGUAGGUGUGAUAUUGUGUUAAGAGUCGUUUGUUUUGUAAGUUUUCAUCACAUGAGAUGUUCCUUAGAUGGAAACGAGUGUUAUCAAAGAAAUGGUUUUAGGUAAACCAGCACCUCUCAUCAGUCUUUCUUACUCAGUGUUAUCAUCUGCUUGGUUUUAGGUGAUGGACUCAUUUCCCGCGGUGGUUUUGCUUGCGUUUUCCUGAUGUUGUUUCAUGUCGGGUUCUGAUUCGCUUUGCUGCUAUUAUUUCUGUGGCGAUGCAGACUUGUGGUGACGAAGAGCAAGGCCGAGAAGGACUCCAACAAGCCCAAGCGCCCUCUGAGAGCCGUCUCAGUCCUCAUGGACAGCUUCAGGAAGGACUCCAACUUCAAGCAUGUCCCCAUGGUUGGCAAGGGCGGUGGUGAGAAGUGGAAGUAUCUUGAGUGAUGUUGAGAAUGCUCCCUAAUUGCCAAGGCCAAGUACACCAAGAAGAUGGACACCUACAACAACCCACUGGAAGGAGAGGCGUCUGACGACUCUGACAAGUCCCAGUUUGAGGUGAGCGACGCAAAGCAGCAGGAGGGGGAGGGGGUCUCUGAAAUGUCACCGCUUUCGCUCAUUGCUAGUGUCACCGAUUGAUGAUGGAUAGUUGCCGUUAGUUUAGCUCCUUAGUAGUAUCUCCUAGUCUUUCAGGCGGCUGCUGCUGCUGGUAGCUAUAGUCUGUUCACCGAUUGAUGAUGGAUUGUUGAAUGUACUUACUCUUGUACCCGUGGCUGUUUAAGGAAUACUUUUGUGUUGAAAGAAAUAAAAUGGUCUUGAUA